rnacentral:rRNA from 1 species
CAGUAGCCGCGGUAACACGAAGGGUGCAAGCGUUAAUCGGAAUUAUUGGGCGUAAAGGGCGCGUAGGCGGUUUGACAAGUCUGAUGUGAAAUCUCUGGGCUCAACCCAGAGUCUGCAUCGGAAACUGUCGAGCUUGAGUAUGGGAGGGGUGAGUGGAAUUUCCGGUGUAGCGGUGAAAUGCGUAGAUAUCGGAAGGAACACCUGUGGCGAAAGCGGCUCACUGGACCAUUACUGACGCUGAGGCGCGAAAGCUAGGGGAGCAAACAGGAUUAGAUACCCCCGUAGUCCCUGUCUCUUAUAC